rnacentral:pre_miRNA from 1 species
AAAAAGAUAAACCUUUAGUUUUCGUGUCCCAUCUUAUAUGAAUUUUUUUUAUAAUUAGUAUUUUCAUUGUUGUUAGAUGAUAAAACAUGAUUAAUACUUUAUGCGUGACUUGUCUUUUUAAUUUUUUUCAUAUUUUUUUCAAAUAAAACAGACGAUUAAACGUUUGACACGGAAACCCGGGUUUGUUUUUUUG